UUGCGUAGGUGGCAUUGUAAGCGAGUAGUGAAAGCGUUCGGCUCAACCGGAUACACAUUAUUUGAACUGCAAAGCUAGAGGACGAGAGAGGUUAUUGGAAUUCCCAGUGUAGGAGUGAAAUCCGUAGAUAUUGGGAGGAACACCGAUGGCGUAGGCAGAUAACUGGCUCGUUCCUGACACUAAGGCACGAAAGCGUGGGUAGCAAACGG
rnacentral:rRNA from 1 species